rnacentral:rRNA from 1 species
GAUGAACGCUGGCGGCGUGCCUAACACAUGCAAGUCGAACGGAGCUGCUUUGAUGAAGUUUUCGGAUGGAUUUAAAACAGCUUAGUGGCGGACGGGUGAGUAACGCGUGGGUAACCUGCCUCACACUGGGGGAUAACAGUUAGAAAUAGCUGCUAAUACCGCAUAAGCGCACAGUUCCGCAUGGAACAGUGUGAAAAACUCCGGUGGUGUGAGAUGGACCCGCGUCUGAUUAGCCAGUUGGCGGGGUAACGGCCCACCAAAGCGACGAUCAGUAGCCGGCCUGAGAGGGUGAACGGCCACAUUGGGACUGCUACACGGCCCAAACUCCUACGGGAGGCAGCAGUGGGGAAUAUUGCACAAUGGGGGAAACCCUGAUGCAGCGACGCCGCGUGAGUGAAGAAGUAUUUCGGUAUGUAAAGCUCUAUCAGCAGGGAAGAAAGUGACGGUACCUGAAUAAGAAGCCCCGGCUAACUACGUGCCAGCCGCCGCCGUAA